rnacentral:rRNA from 1 species
UACGGAGGGGGCUAGCGUUGUUCGGAAUUACUGGGCGUAAAGCGCACGUAGGCGGCUUUGUAAGUUAGAGGUGAAAGCCCGGGGCUCAACUCCGGAAUUGCCUUUAAGACUGCAUCGCUAGAAUUGUGGAGAGGUAAGUGGAAUUCCGAGUGUAGAGGUGAAAUUCGUAGAUAUCUGGAGGAACACCGGUGGCGAAGGCGGCGUCCUGGACCAACACUGACACUGAUGAGCGAAAGCCAGGGGAGCAAACGGG